ACUAUUACACCUCACUUUCUUUCCCUUUCAAACCCUUGCUUCCGUUGGUCGCGAAUUUGUGUUCUGUCGCUCUCAAAUCCCGCUUUUUAUCGUUCUCGGCUCUUGGUUUGCUCAGAAAGCACCGAAUCAGUGUAAGGUUCGUUUAUACAGAGACAAGGACAACUUGGCCACUGCACCAUUUAUCGGCACUUGAGGGUACACUUCUGGGCAUCAUUACGGGUGUCAAUUUCUUUAGAACUCAUGGAUAAGUAGUUUUGCGAUAUCAGUUGUUGGACUCGACUGUCUACUAUCAAUCAGACACUAGACUAUGCCUUCAGUCAAUUGAGAAAACUUAAUUUUUCACAGAUUCAGUCUUCAGUAGAUGGCUGAGGAAUUUCCACAUGCAGCACUGUAUCAAAUUAUUAUUGAUCAUAGGUACGAAGAAGGCCUUAUUAGUGUAAUGAGAGAGUCCAAUAUCAACUGGACGUGAAGUAACGUUUACAAUUACUUUGGGCGGUUCUAUACUAAACUGGAGGAAAAGAUACAUGCAAAGGAGAUGGAGAAGAAUAAUUUGCAAGCCAAGUAUGAGAUGAUAUUCCAAUAGUGUGGAAGAAAAGAGCACCAUCGCCACAAAAGCCGGCUUUUCGUGGGAAGAUUCGACAGGGAAAAUGUGAUUUCAACUGCGUUGGAGCAUAAGAGGAAGAGAGAUGAGGUAGACCCGAUAUCGUGGUGUUCAGUAACUCAGCUGGUUUUAUGAGUAUGACCAUGAUGGAUCAAAAGCUAGGGAUCUUGAAUUGGCAAUUGGAAUUAAAGUCUUAAUACAUGAAUUUUGGGUCGUUGGAGGAAGAAUUUGGCUGCUUGACAUUUUGAGUCUUUGUACCUGACACAACUACAUCACCUCCAAAGUUGCAGACAAGGAUUGCAAGUAAAAUGACGGUUUUGACCCUGGAUUGCCAAUAGAAGUCUCUCGACUCCUUCAUCAGAAACGAAAUCCAAAAAGGAAAAACUGUGCUCUGCAACACGAUUGACGAUUUCGAUUCCGCUUUGUGGAUGCCUCUGGAACUCUCCAGUCCUGCGACCGUUCAUCAUAUCGCUGGACCUUCCACUUCUAGUGCAUCUUCAUGGUUUUUCCAUCCGUUCCCUCUCUCUUUCUCAAAUUUCUGCUUCCGCCGUUCUCAAACUCGCCUCUCUCACUCUCAAGCGUUCAGUCUCUCUCGCUCUCAAACGUUGCCGAUCCAUUGAAACCCAUAUUCCUUUCCUCAAAAUCCAAGGUUUUUCAAAAUUUGGAUGUUUGUAGGUUGCAAAACCCUCUGUUCUCAAGGUAAGUAAUUUAAAAUUCUGGGGUUAUUCUAUUGAAAGUUUCAAUUUAUAGUUUAGUUUAGUUUUUUUAUAAUCAGAGUUGAGUUGGUAUUUUGUUUGUGUUUGAUUAUAUUGAAAUCAGAGUUUCAGAGGACUUCUGUUUGGGUUUGAUAUUUCCCCACGAUGUAUAAAAUGAGGGAGGGCAAAGCAUUUAACACACCAGAUUAUAUUGGCUGUUUUUGUUAUUUCAUGCUACGUAUUGUAAUUGGGAGAAGUAAAGAACAUGUAUGCUUUUAGCACCACCACCUAGAUUGGAUUCCAAUGAGCUGUAUCUGAAGAAACAUCUGAAAAAUUCAAAGCUUAUGGAAUGAUUUUUAAAAAAUCAGGCCAUAAUCAGUUUGUACAGGAAUACCAGGAAAUCAGGGAUUAGGAUUAAUCUCCCUGUUAACAUGUGGCCAGUAACAUGUCCAGGGCAAGCUUUGAAUGCACCUAAUGACUUGCCUAAGAAUGUCACAUGGACAUUGAAUCAGGGCUCAAUUCCCAUGAGCAUGGAUUUUCAUCCUUCACAGCAGACUCUGCUUCUUGGGUUGUAUUUUUUAAGUAGCUCCUUAUAUUUAUUUGUGUACCUUCGGCUCUACAGUUUUUCCCUAGGUGCUUGCUGCUCAUAAUUGACUGUUGAUUGUUCUCUGUAUAUACUUCAGUUGGUACCAAUAUGGGGGACAUAGGGCUGUGGGAAGUUGGAUCUAGGAAGAUCCUCUGUAUGCUAUCAAUUUGUUGUCUGAGGAGAAUAGCUGAAUAGAUCAGAUAGGACAUGAAGAAAAUCAUUUUGGUAACAAAGAAGAAAGAAGAGUGAAGUAAUGAGAUAUGAAGAGAACUUUGCCGCUAAGAUUAAAAUAGAGAUUGUAGUGAGCAAAGUCUAGCGGAAUCACCGCCAUCAACAGCUAUGGCUGCGCAGUUCGUCGUCGUCCAGUAUUCCUCCAAAAUUCCACUAUCUCUCUUUGCUCUCUCCUAUUCAGUUGCUGAGAAGAACAAAGAUGUGCAAUUAAUAGAUUUUGUUGAAAUCGAGUUUUUGGCUGAGCAGGUGGAAGCCUAUCAGGAAAAUAUCUGAAUAUUUUGCUCAACUAAGGACACUUCACAAAGGGCACGCGUCUGCCUUUCUAUAUUGAUGAUAUACUGAUGGAAAUGAGUUUCUUGCCAAGGCUCACAAGGCACUGAAAUGCCCCUGCAAAGCCGACUUACAAAGUGGGCCCUAUGGACUUAAGUUUUCAGAGGCUUUUCUCUGUUAUCUUAAAAGCACAGUGGAAGAAAAGGGAUCAGGCUGUGUCCAUCCAUUUGUAGUUUUGCAGAAUUGUAUUAAAGUUAAUCCUUCUAAAGACAAUUUAGAAGAGGAUGCGAUUAACAAAGAUGACGACUACACCACUUUUGCUCUUUUCCUUUUCUUAUAACAAACAAUGACCAUUGAGUUUUUUUCUCUUUUUUUC